rnacentral:pre_miRNA from 1 species
UAAUGUUGACUAUCACGUGUCACGUUCUUAUUGGAUUAUGACUGUCACGUGUCAUGUUCUGAUUGGUCAAUGAAAAUAACAAUACAUUUAAUCUUUUAUGGAGUUGACAUUCAAUCAAAACGUGACACGUGACGGUCAACAUCA